rnacentral:miRNA from 1 species
UAUACGACUCUCUGGCGAUGCC